rnacentral:lncRNA from 1 species
GGCCUUCCGUAAUGGUAGUAUCUUGGCACAAUAUCAUAGGCAAAAUGCUGACGUGGCACUAUAUUUAUUGAGGAAAGAGGAGGUUGUUGUAUCUUAUUUAGGAUACGGCUCUUGCACGGUAUCAUAGGCAAAAUAACUUGUUAGACCAAUCACAUAUUAGUAUGAGGCCAAAAUCAUUAAAUACAUGCUUACUAAGAUACGACACUUAACAUACAAUACAUUAGGAUGGUUGUAUCUAACGAUCGUAUACUAUCUAGGAUACCGCGCUAAGAGACAAUGCAUUACGGAAGGCCUU